UCUGACGGCAGUUUGGCAGCAAUGCUCGCAAGCUUCACGUCGCUAACAAGUAUUCUCUGUACGCAGGUGAGAAUUUCGCUACUGCACCUAAAUUCUAUUAUUGCUAGCACUGCUGCCAAGCACCAUUGCCUACGUUGUGUCGGCUUGCUGUUGUCUUGUUGAAGGAUGAAUAAGAAAGUAGACGUGUUUCAGCGAGAGAUACGAAAGGAA